GCGCCCUUAGUUCAAUUGGAUAGAACGUAUGGCUUCGGACCAUAAGGUUGGGGGUUCGAGUCCUCCAGGGCGCG
rfam:Candidatus Curtissbacteria bacterium RIFCSPHIGHO2_01_FTLL_41_13 rifcsphigho2_01_scaffold_36993, whole genome shotgun sequence.